GCAUGACAUGGCACUAUGGCAUUGCUAAGCUACGGUGCUAUGUGGCAUCUUGACGAAGCAUGAAGGCUGAGUGUUCUAGACAUGGCAAAGGAUGCAGUUAGGAAACGGUGAUUUUGUGGCUAAGGUCGGAGUAGAUGACACUGGACACUCUUGGAAUCAGAUGCAACCAGAUGCUCAGGAGAAGGGUUGGCUCCAAGUAGCAAUUCGCAGGCGAUGACACUGGAAACUCUUGGAAUCCGG
rnacentral:lncRNA from 1 species